rnacentral:rRNA from 1 species
GACGGAGGGUGCUAGCGUUGUUCGGAAUUACUGGGCGUAAAGGGCGCGUAGGCGGCUUAUUAAGUCGGGUGUGAAAGCCCAGGGCUCAACCCUGGAACUGCAUCCGAGACUGGUAGGCUCGAGACCGGGAGAGGAGAGUGGAAUACCCAGUGUAGAGGUGAAAUUCGUAGAUAUUGGGUGGAACACCGGUGGCGAAAGCGGCUCUCUGGCCCGGAUCUGACGCUGAGGCGCGAAAGCGUGGGGAGCAAACAGGAUUAGAUACCCUGGUAGUCCACGCCCUAAACGAUGUGUGCUAGAUGUUGGGGGACCUGUCCCUCAGUGUCGUCGCUAACGCAUUAAGCACACCGCCUGGGGAGUACGGCCGCAAGGUUAAA